rnacentral:rRNA from 1 species
AGUGAACGCUGGCGGUAGGCCUAACACAUGCAAGUCGAACGGCAGCACCGUAAGAGCUUGCUCUUACGGGUUGCGAGUGGCGGACGGGUGAGGAAUACAUCGGAAUCUACUUUUUCGUGGAGGAUAACGUAGGGAAACUUACUCUAAUACCGCAUACGACCUACGGGUGAAAGCAUUGGAUCUUCGCACCUUGCGCGAUUGAAUUAGCCGAUGUCGGAUUAGCUAGUUGGCGGGGUAAAGGCCCACCUAGGCGACGAUCCGUAGCUGGUCUGAGAGGAUGAUCAGCCACACUGGAGCUGAGCCACGGUCCAGACUCCUACGGGAGGCAGCAGUGGGGAAUAUUGGACAAUGGGCGCAAGCCUGAUCCAGCCAUACCGCGUGGGUGAAGAAGGCCUUCGGGUUGUAAAGCCCUUUUGUUGGGAAAGAAAAGCAGCAGGUUAAUACCCCGCUGUUCUGACGGUACCCAAAGAAUAAGCACCGGCUAACUUCGUG